UUGCCAGCCCGCUCAGAAACUCAAAGGAAUUGACGGGGGCCCGCACGAAGCGGUGGAGUAUGUGGUUUAAUUCGAUGCAACGCGAAGAACCUUACCUGGUCUUGACAUCCCGGAGACCCUUAGGAAACUAGGGGGUGCUUCCAUCUGGAAGAAUCUGGAGACAGGUGCUGCAUGGCUGUCGUCAGCUCGUGUCGUGAGAUGUUGGGUUAAGUCCCGCAACGAGCGCAACCCUUGCCUUUAGUUGCCAGCAGUUCGGCUGGGCACUCUAAAGGGACUGCCGGUGUUAAACCGGAGGAAGGUGGGGAUGACGUCAAGUCCUCAUGGCCUUUAUGACCAGGGCUACACACGUACUACAAUGGCCGAUACAAAGGGCAGCGACACUGCGAGGUGAAGCCAAUCCCGUAAAAUCGGUCUCAGUCCGGAUUGGAGUCUGCAACUCGACUCCAUGAAGUUGGAAUCGCUAGUAAUCGUGGAUCAGCAUGCCACGGUGAAUACGUUCCCGGGCCUU
rnacentral:rRNA from 1 species